GAUGAGAACGUAGCGAAAUGCGAUACUUGGGGUGAAUUGCAGAAUCCCGUGAACCAUCGAGUCUUUGAACGCAAGUUGCGCCCGAAGCCAUCAGGUUGAGGGCACGUCUGCCUGGGCGUCACAUAUCGUUGCCCAAUGCCUAUUGCAGUGCAAUAGGAAUUUCUAGGGCGAAUGAUGGCUUCCCGUGAGCGUUGUUGCCUCGCGGUUGGUUGAAAAUCGAGUCCUUGGUAGGGUGUGCCAUGGUAGAUGGUGGUCGAGUUAGAACGAUACCGAUCAUGUGCAUGCUCCCCAAAAUAUGGCCUCUAUGACCCACACGCGUCUUUUGACGCUCAUGACGAGACCUCGGGUCAGGCGGGGCUACCCGCUGAAUUUAAGCAUAUCAAUAAGCGGAGGA
rnacentral:misc_RNA from 1 species